rnacentral:rRNA from 1 species
GUGUCAGCAGCCGCGGUAAGACGAACCGUGCGAACGUUGUUCGGAAUCACUGGGCUUAAAGGGCGCGUAGGCGGGUUCGCAAGUCAGGGGUGAAAUCUUUCAGCUUAACUGGAAAACAGCCCCUGAUACUGCGAGUCUCGAGGGAGGUAGGGGCAUGUGGAACUUCCGGUGGAGCGGUGAAAUGCGUAGAUAUCGGAAGGAACGCCGGUGGCGAAAGCGACGUGCUGGACCUCUUCUGACGCUGAGGCGCGAAAGCUAGGGGAGCAAACGGGAUUAGAAACCCUGGUAGUCC